GGAUGUGAGAACAAUUUGGCUUUGACACGUGAUACUCCAUGAUUACUGGUGUUGAUUCAUCUGAUGUGGGUGGCAGGAGGCUGUCCCCUUCCUCCUUCUCAUUUCCUUGACUCCUCUUUUGAAAUCUUAAGAUGAAAGAGAAUGAUCUAUCCAGAUGGAAGAAAACCACACUUUAGUCAAGAGUAUAUGAAUGCAUAUGCUUUUUAACCUAAAAUCUCUAAGCUUUCAAAGAAUCUCUUU
rnacentral:sRNA from 1 species